CGAAUUUUUCCCGCGUGCAAUAUUUCCGUCUGCGAUAAAUAUUAAACUGGUACCCUUAUCGACCUCGCCUAUUUCGUAUGUAGGUAGCAUCGAUCAGCGGGGAACCAGUUUACAAAUAUUUAAAAAAAAUUUUGUCAAAAGUAUUAUAGCUCUUAAAAUAAAGGAUAUAUUCCAAUAUUUCUCCUAUAAUUUUUUUUAUCGAUUUUUUUAAUACUUUGUAAUUGAUUGACAACUUCCGUCAACAUCAGAAGAAAACACAGAAGAUGGAGGCCGGAGGGGCAGUGCAGUGAGAAGAUUCUGCCUUACUUAACAUUAAGUCAUUCUUAGGAGAACUUCUUAGUAGAUAAUAAGCAGGCUGACUCUUUAUAAAUUGGGAAGAGGAAGGAGUCGGAACUGAACAUUCUGGAGGGAGUGGCUUGUGCUGAGUUUUAUUUUUAAGGAAACUUCCAUUCAACAUGUUCAACAACAGAAAAUUUGUGAAUUAACCCACUGUAGAGUACCAAAAUCUGUUGCAACAGAAUAGUUGCAGAUUAAUCUAAUAGAUCUGCCUGUGAUGACCAUGAUUGGAACUAUAUCUUGUUUAGUAAAUGGACUUAAAUAAUGAUCAACUCCAAAAAGUACCAAAAACUGUUACAACAGAAUUGCUACAGUAUAGAUGCCUGUGAUGACCAUGAUCGAGACUAACAUAUUUUUGAUGAAGUGUUAAAGUGUAUACACAGACACAAACAUGGGCAUAGUUAAUUUGUUUUGUAUUAUAUAAUGUCCAUUAUGGGUUGAUUUCAUUGUCAUGUCAUAUAUUAUGAUUAUAGUUUAAAUAAUUUAUCUCCAA